AUGCACGCUGGCGGCGUGCCUAAUACAUGCAAGUCGAGCGAACAGACGAGGAGCUUGCUCCUCUGACGUUAGCGGCGGGCGGGUGAGUAACACGUGGAUAACCUACCUAUAAGACUGGGAUAACUUCGGGAAACCGGAGCUAAUACCGGAUAAUAUAUUGAACCGCAUGGUUCAAUAGUGAAAGACGGUUUUGCUGUCACUUAUAGAUGGAUCCGCGCCGCAUUAGCUAGUUGGUAAGGUAACGGCUUACCAAGGCAACGAUGCGUAGCCGACCUGAGAGGGUGAUCGGCCACACUGGAACUGAGACACGGUCCAGACUCCUACGGGAGGCAGCAGUAGGGAAUCUUCCGCAAUGGGCGAAAGCCUGACGGAGCAACGCCGCGUGAGUGAUGAAGGUCUUCGGAUCGUAAAACUCUGUUAUUAGGGAAGAACAAAUGUGUAAGUAACUAUGCACGUCUUGACGGUACCUAAUCAGAAAGCCACGGCUAACUACGUG
rnacentral:rRNA from 1 species